UCUGACCUUCUAGGGGAAAAUAUAAAAUAUGAGAUAUCCUCGAGCUUCAAUUGGACUGCUGAUCGUGCUGGUUCAAUAUUCUUUGGCCCCUGAUCCGUUACAGAUGAGGAUUUGUGCAAUGCGUGCCGAAUAUGGAAGAUGCGACGGGCAUACCUUGGUCUGGGCUUACGAUAAAAAUAAUAAUGAAUGCGUUGAAUUCGCUUACUCUACCUGUGGUGGCAAUCGGAAUCGUUUUUCUACUUAUGUAGAGUGUAUGUUAGCUUGUGCUGUUUUCGAAAAAACUGAUGAAUAUCAAGACACAUUUACAAUGAGAAUAUACACAUAAAGAGGCAUAACGAUCGAACCAUACAACUGUAAAAUGUAAUGUUUUUUCUACAGGUGAAAAAUAGUUACGACUCAAGUUUAAAUAUCUUUCACAAGUGCGGAUUAACUUAACGGCCUGCAGUAACUAUAGUAUUUCCAAAAUAACUGCAUAGAUAUUCGGUUUGAUAGCCCUAAACACAUUUCCAUUUGAAGCCAAAUGUAAUCCAUUGCAAGCCAUAAAUACCCAAAAUAUGUCUGAAAUCCAGUUCAGUUCACAUUCAGAGUUCAGCAGGGCCGAAAGAUGCGAUUGCUCGGAGUUUUACUUGGCCUAUUGGCCGUGCUAUUGGCAGCGGUUGAGUUUGUAGCCAGCGUUUCAUUGAGAAAAAGGAUUUGUUCGCUACGUCCCGAAUAUGGAGAUUGCGAGGGACAUCGCCUGUUGUGGGCCUACGAUUCGAGGGAUGGAAAAUGCCGUCAAUUUGUGUACUCUAACUGUGGCGGCAAUCUGAACCGUUUCUUUAAUGAAAGAAAUUGUUAUCGGACGUGUCAGGAUUAUACGUAUGUAGGAGUCUCAGGCCAAAUGAUGCCCUAUGAGAGAAACUAAAAUAUUCAUUAUUUUAUUCAUGAAUGUGCAACCAAGCGAAUGAAAUAAAGGCAUGGAUUGCUAGCCUUUCGACCACUUUUCA